rnacentral:lncRNA from 1 species
AUAUACUGUGGUUAAUUCUUGCUUUAUUUAUAAUAUUAUGCACUGCAGAGAAAUAAGAUAUUGUUAUGUGUGUUUCCUAGUAUAGACGUACAUGAACAUGUUAUUGUCUUAUUUACUUUUCAAUACAGUAUUUAUGUCAUUAAAGAUAUACAAAUUCCAAGUAUGUAGUAGUUUAGAUUAGCCUAAAAUUUAAAAAAAUCACAGAGAAUGGUUUAUUUUUAUUAUUUGUGUUGCAGCUAAGCUGUUUUAUUAAUUUUACUGCUGAUUAUUAGCAUGCAAUAGCAAAGAUUUGUAAAUAAAUUAUCAUAUUUAAUUUCAUCAUCCAUAGUACAAACGAGUUUUACAGAAAUUGCAUUUAUCGCCAUGUGGUAGAAAACGAAGUGGUCACACGUAGAAUUACAUUCCAUUUUUUUAAUUGAUAAAGACAUAAAAAAUUCCAAGAAAAUUCAAAAUCCAAUAUUUUUUUACGAAAAGUACUCUUUUAUAAAAGGUUUUCAUGAUAAUCUUGCCUGCUCUUUGCAACUUCUAGUAUUUAUAAUUGAUAUAAUGUUAGUGAUGUACUGUUUCAGUUAUUACUUGAAUCUUAUGAAUUAUAAAUUAAACUCGUUAUCUUAAUUGAUUAAAUCUACAUAGUUUGCGAAAACUUGUGUAACAACUGAUACCAAUCGACUAGAAAUAUCAUCAAUUCAAGACUUAAAUAAUCUAAUGAGUUUUAAUUUAGGCCCCAGGCAAACUAUCACCUAUUUUGAUUUCAUACGUUUUUUAAAAUUUUAUUUUUCGAAAUUAGAAUUAUGAUUUAAAGAAACUAGAAAGAUCCUUUGUCCUAAAAUUUUCAUUUGACUCCAACAUUUCCUAAAUAUAUUACAUGUUUCAAAAGUUACACAUAUGCGUUGACACGUUAACUACUUUGUUGUAUAUUAUAAUUAUUUCUGGAAUAUUCUUCCUGAGCGAAAUUUUUAUUACAUUUGUGAUUUGUGUUAACUCUGUUAAGCAGUGAUACUGCUGUAGCAGACGGUUUUAGUAUAGCAAAGCUUAUUUGUUAUUUUUUUCAGUAACAAAAGUAACCAGUGUUACUUGUGUAUUUGAUGUUAUUUUUGCUUGUUUGUGUGUUAAUUUGAAGGGACUGUUUUUGUUUACACAUCUUGCCAUAUAAAACUUUUGAGUUAAAAGCAGCUAAAUGACUGAUUAUUACUGUUGAUAAGAUGAGGUUUUAUAAAGUUUAGUUAUAAAUUAUUUGCUUUGACAAUUUAUCAUAUAUUGUUUUUAAUUUUAACUACAUUGUACACUGAGCAAUGGUAGCUUCGGACAUUAGAUGGGUUUACAUCCAAACAAAUGGUAGGUAAACUGCCAGCAAACUUCCUUGACUAUUGCUUUCAAUACUUUUUCAUAUGAGAGAUAACGGAACAGCUAUUUUUUAAAGGAUGAUAUUUCUUUUGCUAAAAUGUCACCUAGUUAUUAAGAUAAAUGUGCAUGUAAGUUUCAAAAACUAAUUACAACUGUUAUUGGACCAAACAUAAAAUGGUAUGUUUUAACUUAUUUUUUUCUGGAUUUGUUUCUGCAUUAUUUCCUAAACUUUUAAACUGAGAGCCUUUUAUUUUACUUAAGGUAUUAAGAACAACAAAAAAAUAGAAUAGGUUUUUUUUUGUCAGAUGGUCUAAUAUGAAAUAUUACUAUACUCUUGAUACUAGGUUCCAUCAUAUAUAGUUUAUCUUUUUUUAAUACGUUUUUAUCUACUUUGGAACAAAUAAUGAUGACAGAUUGACAUGUCACCAAUUCAUUGGCCUUGUUGACGUUAUGGGAGAAGAACGCGAGAGAUAUUCAAAAAUGUAUUUUAGCAAUAACCAUCUAUUGUGACAAAUACCUAUAUAAUUAUUUAGAACAUUUAUGUUGUAACUACAACUGUUAUAAACUUAAUAUAAAUAAUUAUUGAUUUUCUAGUUUGUAACAUAUACAUUCUAUAUUGUAAAAUAUUGCUCACUAUCAUUUCUAGUCGAUACCAUUAGAAACGUUGGUCACUUGCGUCAGUUUUUAUUUCUUCAUAUUCUCAGGUUUUGUCAUCUCAAAUCCAUGAAAAGUUUCACAACUAAGCACAUAAGUUAUUAAAACGUACAGCCCUCUGACUAAACUUUAAUCUCCUCAAACGAAAUUACACAAAU